AAGGGUGACGAAGCGACGCCGCGUGUGGGAAGAAGGCCUUCGGGUUGUAAACCACUGUCGGGAGUUAGGAAAUGCAGGUGCGUUAAUAGCGCACUUGCUUGACUAAGGCUCCAGAGGAAGCCACGGCUAACUCUGUGCCAGCAGCCGCGGUAAUACAGAGGCGGCAAGCGUUGUUCGGAAUUAUUGGGCGUAAAGAGCACGUAGGCGGCCUUGCAAGUCAGUUGUGAAAGCCUUCCGCUUAACGGAAGAACGGCAUCUGAUACUACAGGGCUUGAGUACGGGAGGGGAGAGUGGAACUUCUGGUGGAGCGGUGAAAUGCGUAGAUAUCAGAAGGAACGCCGGCGGCGAAAGCGACUCUCUGGUCCGAAACUGACGCUGAGUGUGCGAAAGCUAGGGGAGCAAACGGGAUUAGAUACCCCGGUAGUCCUAGCCGUAAACGAUGGGCACUAAGUAGAGGGAAUU
rnacentral:rRNA from 1 species